AUACGCCAUGUAGUGGAUGACUCGGCUGGGGAGCCGAUGAAGGGCGCGGUAAGCGGCGAAACGCUGUGGGAAGACGCAGACAGUCUACGAUCCACAGAUUCCCGAAUCGGAUUUCCGGUUACAGUCUAAUAAACUGUAACAGCCAGGAAUGGCGGGGAACGCAGGGAACCAAAACAUUCAAGUACCUGCAGGAAAAGAAAACAAUUGUGAUUCCGGUAGUAACGGCGAGUAAAACCGGAACAGGCCAAACCGAAUUCCUUUUUUGAAAAAUUAAGGUAGAUGUGGUGUUUUGACUACAACAUAUACCGUAAGCGUGAAGUUGAAGACCCCUGGAAAGGGGCGUCAUAGAGGGUAAUAACCCCGUAAACGUAAGCGCUCGGAUUAGUAGUAUCAAGACUAGCGUGGCUUGGAUUUGUCGCGCAAAUAUGGGAGUACUAACUCCCAAGCCUAAAUACUCCCCCAGACCGAUAGCGCACUAGUAACGUGAGUGAAAGUUGAAAAGUAUUCGAAAUACGAGAGUGAAAAGUUCCUGAAAUUACAUGGUAACAGACGUGGAUGGCUUGAAAGGGUAGAGUCUCGGUGAAGGAACCCAUCGUGAGGUGGUAGUACGAGCUGAGAGGACCAGAGUCAUCCGAUCCGUCUUGAAACACGGGCCGAGGAGUUUAUGUCUGUGGCAAGCCUAUGUUAAUACGGUGGCGUAGCGAAAGCAACCAGCGCGCAACUUCGGUGAGGCGCGACGUCCGAUAAGGGCGUGAAGUCACAGGUGUAAGACCCGAAAGCAGUUGAUCUAUCCCUGACCAAGGUGAAGCGCUUCGAAAGGAGCGUGGAGGCCUGAAGGGUUAUUGAUAUGCAAUUCAUUCCUCUGAGUUGGGGAUAGUGGCAAAAGACCAAUCUAAACUGCUGAUAGCUGGUUCCCCCCGAAGUAUCACCACAGGAUAGCGUCGCUGAAGGUAGCUUGUGAGGUAGAGCUACGGACGGGAGGUUCUGGGAAGUGAAAUUCUCACCCUCCCUUCCAACUCCGAACUUGCAAGCGCCGUAGAAGGCGACAGACGGGCGUGUAUCCGCAAGGGAUAUAGCCGAAAGGGGAACAACCCUACGAUGGGUUAAGGGCCCUAAAUCCCGGUUAAAUGUUAAACAGAAUGACGUCCAACGACGAAGACAAUGAGGCGGUAAGCUUAGAGGCAGCUAUCCGUUAAAAAAAGCGUAACAGCUUACUCAUCGAGUUGUUGGGCUCAGAAAAUGGACGGGGCUAAACCGGGUCCCGAUACCCAUCUGGACUUCGAAAGAGUCUCAGGUAGGGGGGCGAUCUGGCUGGGUAGAAGCUGGGGAGUGAUUCCCAGUGGACCGGUUAGAUUUGCAGAUCUCGGUGGUAGUAGGAGCAUAGUGAGGUGAGAAUCCUCACCGCUGAAAGCCCAAGGGUUCCUUGGCACUGUUCGUCAGCCAAGGGUUAGUCGGUCCUAAGGACGAUCUUAAAACGAGUCGUUCGAAAGGGAAACAGGUUCAUAUUCCUGUACCACGCGUAUAGACGCGGCGACGCAAGCUCUGAGCUAACGCUGGUGGGUAGGUGGCCUAGGAGAAUAUCCUAGUUAAAUUGUAGAAUUCUGGGAAGAACCGUUAAGGUGAGAACCAGAAGAAUAGAUGAAGAGGCUGGCCAUAGGUCGCUGGCUGCCAUCAACCCCAACAGCCCAUGAAAAGGCAAAGAGAACGAUUACGCGUGUCCGUACCCAGAACCGACACAGGUGUGGCUAGCUUAGAAGGCUAAAGCGUGUUAGGGUAGCUCGGGUGAAGGAAAUCGGCAAAUUAGUCCCGUACCUUGGGUAUAAGGGAUGCCUGGGAAGGUGUAUGCCUUACCAGGUCGCAGUGACUAGGGGCACCCGACUGUUUAAUAAAAACAUAGCUAACUGCAAGGGCGAAAGCCUUAGUACAGUUAGUGAAUCCUGGCCGGUGCUGGUGAUUGAAACCUGGGUUCAACCAGGCUAAGACCCAGUAAACGCCGGAGCUAACUAUGAGCUUCUUAAGGUAGGCAAAUGCCUUGUCUGCUAAUUACAGACGUCCAUGAAGGGACCAACGAGGUGCCCACUGUCUCCACCCGAAGCCUACUGAACCCACAGUCCAGCGAACAGUCUGGAGCGCACCAUCGGGAAGAGAAGACCCUGUGAAGCUUUACUGCUGUCAGGGGCUGUUGUACUGGUGUGCAUGCAUAGCAUAGUCAGGAGAUGCUAAUCCUACAUUCUCCGGGAUGUAGGGGAGUCGAACUUGAAAUACUGACCUUGUGCAUUGGUACGACUUACCUCUUGCGAGGGGGACACCCCCUGCCUGGCAGUUUCACUGGGGCGGUAGCCUCUUGAAAAGAUAUCAAGAGGGCCCAAAGCCGAGCUCAACCGGGACAGAAAUCCGGUGUAGAGUGCAAGGGCAAAAGCUCGGUUGACUGUGAACUCCCAAACACGGUUCGCAGAUGUUAACGCAGGGCCUAGCGAUCCUUCGCAGUGCCAUUAGUAGGCGGCGGAGGUGGCAGAAAAGUUACUCCAGGGGUAACUGCGU
rnacentral:rRNA from 1 species